GAUGAAGAACGCAGCGAAAUGCGAUAAGUAAUGUGAAUUGCAGAAUUCAGUGAAUCAUCGAAUCUUUGAACGCACAUUGCGCCCGCCAGUAUUCUGGCGGGCAUGCCUGUUCGAGCGUCAUUUCAACCAUCAAGCCCCCGGCUUGUGUUGGGGACCUGCGGCUGCCGCAGGCCCUGAAAAGCAGUGGCGGGCUCGCUGUCACACCGAGCGUAGUAGAUUUCAUCUCGCUCAGGGCGUGCUGCGGGUUCCGGCCGUUAAACCACCUUCAUAACCCAAGGUUGACCUCGGAUCAGGUAGGAAGACCCGCUGAACUUAAGCAUAUCAAUAAGCGAAGGA
rnacentral:misc_RNA from 1 species